AGUCCAAUUUUUCUGAAGAGACACAAUCGCUUUAUAUGAUGAACAGAUUUACUUUAGGCUUUUAUUCACAUAUAAACAUUGAUCAACGCACACAUCAGUUGUGGUAAACGGAAGCUUAAGCAUGUUUGCUUGAACCAAUGAGGUUCAUUCUCGUGUUACGCAGCACGUUUGAGCUUCCGCAAGAACCAAUGAGUUUCAUUCUCGUGUUACGCAGCACGUUUGAGCUUCCGCAAGAACCAAUGAGGUUCAUUCUCGUGUUACGCAGCACGUUUGAGCUUCCGUAAGGAUAAAUGAGGUUCAUCCUCGUGUUACGCAGCACGUUUGAGCUUCAACAAGAACCAAUGAGGUUCAUUCUCGUGUUACGCAGCACGUUUGAGCUUCCGCAAGAACCAAUGAGGUUCAUUCUCGUGUUACGCAGCACGUUUGAGCUUCAGCAAGAACCAAUGAGGUUCAUUCUCGUGUUACGCAGCACGUUUGAGCUUCCGCAAGAACCAAUGAGGUUCAUUCUCGUGUUACGCAGCACGUUUGAGCUUCCGUAAGGAUAAAUGAGGUUCAUUCUCGUGUUACGCAGCACGUUUGAGCUUAUAAGAGGACCAAGGAGGUUCAUUCUCGUGUUACGCAGCACGUUUGAGCUUCAACAAGAACCAAUGAGGUUCAUUCUCGUGUUACGCAGCACGUUUGAGCUUCCGCAAGAACCAAUGAGGUUCAUUCUCGUGUUACGCAGCACGUUUGAGCUUCCGCAAGAACCAAUGAGGUUCAUUCUCGUGUUACGCAGCACGUUUGAGCUUCUGUAAGGAUAAAUGAGGUUCAUCCUCGUGUUACGCAGCACGUUUGAGCUUCCGUAAGGAUCAAUGAGGUUCAUUCUCGUGUUACGCAGCACGUUUGAGCUUCUGUAAGGAUAAAUGAGGUUCAUCCUCGUGUUACGCAGCACGUUUGAGCUUCAACAAGAACUAAUGAGGUUCAUUUUCGUGUUACGCAGCACAUUUGAGCUUCAACAAGAACUAAUGAGGUUCAUUUUCGUGUUACGCAGCACGUUUGAGCUUCAACAAGAACCAAUGAGGUUCAUUCUUGUGUUACGCAGCACGUUUGAGCUUCCGUAAGGAUAAAUGAGGUUCAUCCUCGUGUUACGCAGCACGUUUGAGCUUCAACAAGAACCAAUGAGGUUCAUUCUCGUGUUACGCAGCACGUUUGAGCUUCAACAAGAACCAAUGAGGUUCAUUCUCGUGUUACGCAGCACGUUUGAGCUUCCGUAAGGAUAAAUUAGGUUCAUCCUCGUGUUACGCAGCACGUUUGAGCUUCAACAAGAACUAAUGAGGUUCAUUUUCGUGUUACGCAGCAUGUUUGAGCUUCAACAAGAGGUUUGUUCUCGCGCAUCAAGCAGGUUCGGUUGAGCUUGUUUAUGUUCGCUGAUCAAUGUUUAUAUGUAAAUAAAAGUCUAAAUUCAAUCUGUUCAUCAUAUAAAGCGAUUGAGUCUCUUCAGAAAAUUUGGACUAAACCACUCAAUUCAUAUGGAUUAGUUUUAUGAUCUCUUUAUGAACUUUUGGAAGCAUCAAAGUGUCAGUUGUGAAGGCAGUCUGUGGAGGGAUAGAA